rnacentral:rRNA from 1 species
GGUCAAGUUAUUAAGGGUGCAGGGCGGAUGCCUUGGCACUAGGAGCCGAUGAAGGACGUGAUAAGCUGCGAUAAGCUUCGGGGAGUUGCACGUAAACUUUGAUCCGAAGAUUUCCGAAUGAGGAAACUCACUUAGAGUAAUGUCUAAGUAUCAUUAAGUGAAUACAUAGCUUAAUGAGGGGAACUCAGGGAACUGAAACAUCUAAGUACCUGAAGGAAGAGAAAGAAAUUCGAUUCCGUAAGUAGCGGCGAGCGAACGCGGAUUAGCCCAAACCAAUAAAGUUUUCUUUAUUGGGGUUGCGGACAUAUCAUAACGAAGAGGUAUCGUAAUUGAAGAGGUUUGGAAAGACCCACCACAGAAGGUAAUAGUCCUGUAUGUUAAACGAGAAGACUUCAGAUAUGAUCCAGAGUACCACGGGACACGUGAAACCCUGUGGGAAGCAGGAGGGACCACCCUCCAAGGCUAAAUACUACCUAGUGACCGAUAGCGUAUAGUACCGUGAGGGAAAGGUGAAAAGAACCCCGGGAGGGGAGUGAAAUAGAACCUGAAACCCUGCACUUACAAGCUGUGGAAGCACAUUUCUUGUGUGACCGCGUACUUUUUGUAGAACGGGCCAACGAGUUACGUUAAGUAGCAAGGUUAAGCACUUAAGGUGUGGAGCCGUAGCGAAAGCGAGUUUUAACUGAGCGUUCAGUUACUUGACGUAGACCCGAAACCGGGCGACCUACCCAUGAGCAGGAUGAAGCGAAAGUAAAAUUUCGUGGAGGUCCGAACCCACGAGCGUUGAAAAGCUCGGGGAUGACUUGUGGGUAGCGGUGAAAUUCCAAUCGAGCCCGGAGAUAGCUGGUUCUCCCCGAAAUAGCUUUAGGGCUAGCCUCAAGGUGAGAGAUACGGAGGUAGAGCACUGAAUGUCCUAGGGGGUAUUGCACCUACCGAAGACUAUCAAACUCCGAAUGCCGUCAUCUUAUACUUGGGAGUCAGACUGUGGGUGAUAAGAUUCAUAGUCGAAAGGGCAACAGCCCAGAUCGUCAGCUAAGGUCCCUAAAUGUAAGUUAAGUGGUAAAGGAUGUGGGAUUGCACAGACAACCAGGAUGUUGGCUUAGAAGCAGCCACUCAUUCAAAGAGUGCGUAAUAGCUCACUGGUCGAGUGAUCCUGCGCCGAAGAUUUCCGGGGCUAAAACUUACUACCGAAGCUACGGCAUCAGUAAUGAUGGGUAGGGGAGCUUCCCAUACGGGUUGAAGCAUGACCGUAAGGACAUGUGGACAGUAUGGGAGUGAGAAUGUUGGCAUGAGUAGCGAGAUGUGGGUGAGAAUCCCACAGGCCGUAAACCCAAGGUUUCCAGGGGAAGGUUCGUCCGCCCUGGGUUAGUCGGGACCUAAGCUGAGGCCGAAAGGCGUAGGUGAUGGACAACAGGUUGAUAUUCCUGUACUACCGAUAACCGUUUGAGAGAAGGGAUGACACAGUAGGAUAAGCUAAGCACACUGUUGGUUAUGUGUGCCCAAGCAUUGAGGCAGUCAAAGUAGGCAAAUCCGCUUUGAUAAUGCUGGGAUGUGAUGGGGAGCGAAAUUUAGUAGCGAAGUAGCUGAUUUCACACUGUCAAGAAAAGUCUCUAUCGAGGUUAAAGGUACCCGUACCGCAAACCGACACAGGUGGGUGAGGAGAGUAUCCUAAGGCCAGCGAGAGAACUGUUGUUAAGGAACUCGGCAAAAUGACCCCGUAACUUAGGGAUAAGGGGUGCCACCAUCAGGUGGCCGCAGAGAAUAGGCCCAAGCGACUGUUUACCAAAAACAUAGGUUUCUGCUAAGUCGCAAGACGAUGUAUAGGAGCUGACGCCUGCCCGGUGCUGGAAGGUUAAGGGGAUCUGUUAGAGCAAUCGAAGCAGUGAACUUAAGCCCCAGUAAACGGCGGCCGUAACUAUAACGGUCCUAAGGUAGCGAAAUUCCUUGUCGGGUAAGUUCCGACCCGCACGAAAGGCGUAACGAUUUGGGCACUGUCUCAACAACAGACUCGGUGAAAUUGUAAUUCCGGUGAAGAUGCCGGAUACCUGCGACAGGACGGAAAGACCCCAUGGAGCUUUACUGUAGCUUGACAUUGGGUCUUGGUACUACAUGUACAGGAUAGGUGGGAGGCUUUGAAACCAGGACGCCAGUUUUGGCGGAGCCAUCCUUGGGAUACCACCCUUGUAGUACUGGGACUCUAACCAUAGGCCAUGAAUCUGGUCUUGGGACACUGUCAGGUGGGCAGUUUGACUGGGGCGGUCGCCUCCCAAAAGGUAACGGAGGCGCUCAAAGGUUCUCUCAGUACGGUCGGAAAUCGUACGUAGAGUGUAAAGGCAAAAGAGAGCUUGAUUGCAAGACAUACAGGUCGAGCAAGGAUGAAAAUCGGACUUAGUGAUCCGGUGGUUCUGCGUGGAAGGGCCAUCGCUCAACGGAUAAAAGCUACCCUGGGGAUAACAGGCUUAUCUCCCCCAAGAGUCCACAUCGACGGGGAGGUUUGGCACCUCGAUGUCGGCUCAUCACAUCCUGGGGCUGUAGUAGGUCCCAAGGGUUGGGCUGUUCGCCCAUUAAAGUGGUACGCGAGCUGGGUUCAGAACGUCGUGAGACAGUUCGGUCCCUAUCCGUCGCAGGCGUAGGAAAUUUGAGAAGACCUGUCCUUAGUACGAGAGGACCGGGAUGGACG